GAUGAACGCUAGCUACAGGCUUAACACAUGCAAGUCGAGGGGAAACGAUGAGAGAGCUUGCUCUCUUAGGCGUCGACCGGCGCACGGGUGAGUAACGCGUAUCCAACCUACCCAUUACAGGGGGAUAACCUUGCGAAAGUAAGACUAAUACCCCAUGGCAUUUUAUGGUGGCAUCAUUAUAGGAUUAAAGAUUUAUUGGUAAUGGAUGGGGAUGCGUCUGAUUAGCUUGUUGGCGGGGUAACGGCCCACCAAGGCAACGAUCAGUAGGGGUUCUGAGAGGAAGGUCCCCCACAUUGGAACUGAGACACGGUCCAAACUCCUACGGGAGGCAGCAGUGAGGAAUAUUGGUCAAUGGGCGAGAGCUUGAACCAGCCAAGUAGCGUGCAGGAUGACGGCCCUAUAGGUUGUAAACUGCUUUUAUAGGGGAAUAAAGUGAGCUACGUGUAGUUUAUUGCAUGUACCCUAUGAAUAAGGACCGGCUAAUUCCGUG
rnacentral:rRNA from 1 species